GCUCAGAGUGUGUGCCCAGCAAAAGGACGGUCCGUUGACGUUUCCUUCAGUGAAAUAUCAGCUCAGUCCGUGCUGUGAAUACCACGGAAUCAACAGUGUAUGCCUUGAAUAGCUGAGAGUUUUGAUGGUCCAGGUGAGGAGCAGGGUUCAUCACCUUGGAUCAGCUGAAUCAGCCCCUUCAGUAGACUCUUCUGAUCACCCUGAUCUCCAUCAGGGGUUGCUGACAGCACCACGGGUUCUUCCCUGUUAAUCAGUAGAGACAGAACCAGAGAAUGGCCUGGGUUGAAAAGGACCACAAUGAUCAUCUGAUUCCAGCCCCCUGCUAUGUGCAGGAUCACCAUCCAGCAGACCAGGCUGCGCAGAGCCACAUCCAGCCUGGCCUUGAAUGCCUGCAGGGAUGGGGCAUCCACAGCCUCCUUGGGCAACCUGUUCAGUGCGUCACCACCCUCUGGGUGAAAUACUUCCUUUUAAUACCCAACGUAAUUCUCCCCCGUCUCAGUUUAAAACCAUUCCCCCUGGUCCUAUCACUUAUCCACCCACGUACACAGCCAUUCCCCCUCCUGUUUAUACACUCCCUUCAACUACUGGAUGGUCACAAUGGGGUCUCCCUGCAGCCUCCUCUUCUCCAAACUAAACAAGCCCAGUUCCUACUACUUUUCCUCAUAGGAGAGGUGCUCCAGCCCUCUGGUCAUCCGAGUGGCCCUCCUCUGGGCCCAGUAGAGACAGUUCCUCUAGCAUACCAUCCUGCUGCUUCUCCAUUUUAGCUAGUCUUUCUAGAUAUCUAUAUAACUAAUCCUUCUUGGUGGAUGAAAAACUGAACAUGAGCCAGCAGUGUGCCCUUGCAGCUCAGAAAGCAAAGGAU
rnacentral:lncRNA from 1 species